rnacentral:rRNA from 1 species
CAGUGUCUUUUUGAUACAGAACUCUUGCUUUGGUUUGGCCUAGAGAUAGGUUGGGCCAGAGGUUUAACAAAACACAAUUUAAUUAUUUUUACAGUUAGUCAAAUUUUGAAUUAAUCUUCAAAACUUUCAACAACGGAUCUCUUGGUUCUCGCAUCGAUGAAGAACGCAGCGAAAUGCGAUAAGUAAUAUGAAUUGCAGAUUUUCGUGAAUCAUCGAAUCUUUGAACGCACAUUGCGCCCUCUGGUAUUCCAGAGGGCAUGCCUGUUUGAGCGUCAUUUCUCUCUCAAACCCCCGGGUUUGGUAUUGAGUGAUACUCUUAGUCGGACUAGGCGUUUGCUUGAAAAGUAUUGGCAUGGGUAGUACUAGAUAGUGCUGUCGACCUCUCAAUGUAUUAGGUUUAUCCAACUCGUUGAAUGGUGUGGCGGGAUAUUUCUGGUAUUGUUGGCCCGGCCUUACAACAACCAAACAAGUUUGACCUCAAAUCAGGUAGGAAUACCCGCUGAACUUAAGCAUAU